GCACCUUUCCCGGAGGGCAGCGCCGGCUAGCCACGGAGUUCCCAGGGUUCCCUGCAGUCCGAAGAAUUGAUUCCGACUCAUCGAACGUCUCACAUCUCUAACUUGACGAUUACCAUCACAAAUCAAAACAAAACAAAAGUGUAUUUACAUCAAAAGCUGAGAAAAUUGGACGAAAUUGGUUGCUUGGGUGUAAUUGCCACGACGCACCCACCCUUCCUUGGGUGCCCCAAAGCUAAUGUUGGAGGCACACUCCAUCUCCGACAGACCGGAGUCUAUUCCUGGUGGAUUAGGAUCGGCUCAUCUCCCCGCCCAAGCAACACUUAAGGCCGAUCUCAGACCGUCGCCCAGAUGAGAAGUUGUCAAAGCGACAACAACUGAAGGAAAAUUUUUAGACGCUGAAAAUUAUAAGUGUUUGGCAAAGUCGCCACGGAUGUGAAGUAUACGGCACCAAUUUGGAGGCGUUUGCCCACCCGGGUCACCUAAUCCUGAGGAGCUCCAAGGGAAAAGAAGGGACGUGCUAUGCUUAAAAAAAAAACCCAUAAGUCAUUAAAUUUCGCGAUCCAAUCUAGACGUUGUUGGUCGCGUGGCUAGGGUGCGGCAUUAAGCCUCUAAUUCCAGAUUAUAUUUCACAAGUUUAACGAUGGUUAUAGUCCAGCCUGGUCGAAGCUGCCGCAAGAAGAAAACACCGCUAGCGGCGAAAACCAGCGCGAGUCCGCACGGAGCCAAAUGGUCCGGAGGGUAGCUCGCGUCUGCGCCAGAGGAGCUGGAGACAGUGCGUCGGUGGUCCCAGAGAUGACCACGUAGUCAGCGCGGGUAUUCAUUCCCGGAACGGACUCACCGAGGGAAUGCUGAUGCCGCUGCUGAUGUUGCUGCGGCUGCGGCUGAUGCUGAUCGCUGCUGCUUCUGCGGCUGAUGAUGCUGAUCGCUGCUACAGCUGGUGGACGACGUGGUCUUCACGACCAGGUUAGGUCCGCCAGGUAAGUAUUUUGCCCUCCCGAGUCUUCCAAAUUUCCGCGGCCCUUUAGAAAGGGUCCCCGGCGGCUUUAAUAUUUUUCAAAACCACUGAUAUUUAUAAGUUUCUGACCAAUAAAUAACUACUCACUUCAA